rnacentral:rRNA from 1 species
UACAGAGGUGGCAAGCGUUAUUCGGAAUUAUUGGGCGUAAAGGGCGCGUAGGCGGCCAAGCAAGUCCCGGGUGAAAUCCCUCGGCUCAACCGAGGAACUGCCUUGGAAACUGCUUGGCUUGAGGCCGGGAGAGGGUAGUGGAAUUCCCAGUGUAGCGGUGAAAUGCGUAGAUACUGGGAGGAACACCGGUGGCGAAGGCGGCUACCUGGACCGGUUCUGACGCUGAGGCGCGAAAGCGUGGGUAGCAAAC